rnacentral:rRNA from 1 species
ACAUGCAAGUCAGGGGCAGCAUGAGAGUUAGCAAUAACUCUUGAUGGCGACCGGCGCAAGGGUGCGUAACGCGUGAGCAACUUGCCCGUUUCUGGGGCAUAACCGGUGGAAACGCCGACUAAUUCCCCCAUAGUAUUGAUUCCAGGCAUCUGUUGUCAAUUAAAGCUUCGGUGGUGACGGAUUGGCUCGCGUGACAUUAGCUAGAUGGAGAGGUAACGGCUCACCAUGGGCGACGAUGUCUAGGGGAACUGAGAGGUUAAUCCCCCACACUGGUACUGAGACACGGACCAGACUCCUACGGGAGGCAGCAGUGAGGAAUAUUGGACAAUGGAUGGAAAUCUGAUCCAGCCAUGCCGCGUGCAGGAUGACGGCCCUAUGGGUCUUAAACUGCUUUUGUAUGGGAGCAAUAAGUUCUACGUGUAGAGCGAUGAGAGUACCAUACGAAUAAGCAUCGGCUAACUCCGUG